AGCGAACGCUGGCGGCAGGCUUAACACAUGCAAGUCGAACGGGCGUAGCAAUACGUCAGUGGCAGACGGGUGAGUAACGCGUGGGAACGUACCUUUUGGUUCGGAACAACCCAGGGAAACUUGGGCUAAUACCGGAUAAGCCCUUACGGGGAAAGAUUUAUCGCCGAAAGAUCGGCCCGCGUCUGAUUAGCUAGUUGGUGUGGUAACGGCGCACCAAGGCGACGAUCAGUAGCUGGUCUGAGAGGAUGAUCAGCCACAUUGGGACUGAGACACGGCCCAAACUCCUACGGGAGGCAGCAGGUGGGGAAUAUUGGACAAUGGGCGCAAGCCUGAUCCAGCCAUGCCGCGUGAGUGAUGAAGGCCCUAGGGUU
rnacentral:rRNA from 1 species